GCCGAUGUAGCUCAGCUGGCUAGAGCAGCUGAUUUGUAAUCAGCAGGUCGGGGGUUCGAGUCCCUUCACCAGCUCCA
rnacentral:tRNA from 1 species